GAUGAACGCUGGCGGCGUGCUUAACACAUGCAAGUCGAACGGAAAGGCCCAAGCUUGCUUGGGUACUCGAGUGGCGAACGGGUGAGUAACACGUGGGUGAUCUGCCCUGCACUUCGGGAUAAGCCUGGGAAACUGGGGCUAAUACCGGAUAGGACCUCAUUUUGGAUGGUGUGGUGGAAAGAUUUUCGGUGUGGGGUGAGCUCGUGGCCUAUAAGCUUGUUGGUGGGGUAAUGGCCUAUCAAGGAGUCGGCGGGGAGUCGGCCUGGGGGGGGGUACGGCCACCUUGGGACCUGGAAUCCGGCCAAGCGCCUACGGGGAGGAGGAGGUGGGAAAAUUGGACAAAGGGGGGAAGCCGGGUGCAGCGACGCCGCGGGGGGGGUGACGGGCUUCGGGUUGGAAACUCGUUUCGCUAGGUACGGAGCGUUAUGUGACGGUACCUGGAGAAGAAGCACCGGCUAACUACGUG
rnacentral:rRNA from 1 species